GUUAAAUAAUUUUAGUGUUUUGUUGCACAUUAAGCUAUUUAUAUAAACAAUUUAAUGUGCAUAUUGUAUUUCAAAAGAUUAUGUUGAGUACAGGAUUAAGGAAAAUUUUAUUAUUUUACAUACACAAAUGAAAAUUUCUUAUGACAAUGUAUCAGAAUAAUACAGUUCAUUACAAUGUCAAAAUACAGAUAGACCUCAACUUAUACAGGGUUUGUUUUUGAACUCUGUUGUUGUAAAUUGUAAAUGUCAAAAAUUUAUAGAUUUCUCACCUACUAAUAUUUACUAGGAUACUAUACAUUAUCUUAAUAAAUAUAAAGAAUACAAAAUCACACUGAUUUAAAACACUCAGCCAGCCAUGUCCAAGCCAGAAGUAAUAUAAGGGUGUCGUCAUAAUUGCUUGGUUCAUAUUUCCAGCCAAAUGAAUAGUGAAUGUGUUUAACAUUCUGUCUUCCUAGUGCUGUUACCUGUUUUUAAUACCUGAACUUUGUCCCAGAUAAUAGUAAGGUCAUGCUCUAUAGCCUAUGCACUACUACUGUAUCCAUUUCCCAUUUACAAAUUGUAUAUAUAUGCUUUUUAACCUUCUUCUCUAUAGGCCUACAAGUAAAGUCAAUAUAGCAAUCUUCCCUCCUAAGAUUAUUGUUGAAACAUGGGACCUUGUACAUCCCAGAAUCCUUCCCAGUCCUUUUAUCCUUGUUCUAUAUGAAGUCAAAAGCCAUGCUACACCUCCUAAGCACUAUUGAAUAUCCUGCAUGCUUUUCUAUAAAUGUCUUUAAUUUAUUGAUGAUAGGAUUAAGAUCUGUUUCGUUAUAUAUAGGCUUAGGUUGCAGAUUUCAUGUCUCCUGCAAAGACUAUUUUAUACCUUUAUAAACUUUUAAAAGGAACUUAAACCUGUACCAUUCUGCAUACCUUGCCUAACAAUAAACUCAAUUUCUCUGAAUCUACCUUCUUGAUUGAAGCAAUGAGUGAAUGCUCUUCUAAAUAGAAAGCAGAACACUAAUGCUUUAUACUGCCACAGGUCCAAUAACAGGCUGAAAUAAAAAUCUGAGUAUGUUGGUUUGCAAUAAGUAGAAAUAAGAUAAUCCCCAUUAAGAAUUAAAACCUUACAUCCAAGGAAGUGCAUAGUUAAUGGAUCAAAUUGUUUAAGCUCUAGCUCUAAACCUUGGUCAGAAAGACUAGCUAACAGCCCUUGGUUAUCACCUGGACCAUCCCAUAAAACCAAACUAUCAUCACUGAAAUAUUGAAAUAAUUUAAACUGGGAACUGAAGGACAGAAGGACUAUAUUCUCUUUCCUCUUAACAAGUUCAGCAAGAACCUUGGCCAUAGGAAAAUUUGAUAUAUUCCUGACUUUUGAUUUUUUUCAUACUCUUAUCUUGAAUCUACUUCUUUUAUCAUUUACUUUUUCUUUUGUUCUUUAAAACAAGAGUAUCUUCUUUUUAAUAUCUUCUUUUAUUGACUUUUGAUUUUCAUACUUUUUUUUUCUUUUUAUUUAACAAUAUUUAAUCUAAGAAAAUUAAAUAUUGUUAGGUUUCUUGUACAUGCA
rnacentral:lncRNA from 1 species